rnacentral:rRNA from 1 species
UUGGAGGGCAAGUCUGGUGCCAGCAGCCGCGGUAAUUCCAGCUCCAAUAGCGUAUAUUAAAGUUGCUGCAGUUAAAAAGCUCGUAGUUGAAUUUCGGGACCAAUAUGUCGGUCGUGCCUCGGUACGUACUGGCAUCGUUGGUUUCUCCCUUCUGACGAACCAUGAUGUCAUUUAUUUGGUGUCAUGGGGAAUCAGAACUGUUACUUUGAAAAAAUUAGAGUGUUUAAAGCAGGCUCACGCUUGAAUACAUUAGCAUGGAAUAAUGAAAUAGGACGUUUGAUUCUAUUUUGUUGGUUUCUAGGAUCGACGUAAUGAUUAAUAGGGAUAGUUGGGGGCAUUAGUAUUCAAUUGUCAGAGGUGAAAUUCUUGGAUUUAUUGAAGACUAACUACUGCGAAAGCAUUUGCCAAGGAUGUUUUCAUUAAUCAAGAACGAAAGUUAGGGGAUCGAAGACGAUCAGAUACCGUCGUAGUCUUAACCAUAAACUAUGCCGACUAGGGAUCGGAUGAUGUUAAUUUUUUAAUGACUCAUUCGGCGCCUUACGGGAAAC